rnacentral:rRNA from 1 species
UACGGGGGGGGCAAGCGUUGUUCGGAUUUACUGGGCGUAAAGGGCGCGUAGGCGGCCACCGCAGGUCGACUGUGAAAUCUCCGGGCUUAACCCGGAAAGGUCAGCCGAUACUGCGGGGCUAGAGUGCAGAAGGGGCAACUGGAAUUCUCGGUGUAGCGGUGAAAUGCGUAGAUAUCGAGAGGAACACCUGCGGCGAAGGCGGGUUGCUGGGCUGACACUGACGCUGAAGCGCGAAAGCUAGGGGAGCGAACGGG